CCCUUAGAUGUUCUGGGCUGCACGCGCGCUACACUGAUGCACUCAACGAGUUUACGACCUUGCCCGAUAGGGUUGGGUAAUCUUUUUAAAAUGCAUCGUGAUGGGGAUAGAUUAUUGCAAAUAUUAAUCUUGAACGAGGAAUUCCUAGUAAGCGCAAGUCAACAGCUUGCGUUGAUUACGUCCCUGCCCUUUGUACACACCGCCCGUCGCUACUACUGAUUGGAUGUUUAAGCGAGGUUCUCGAACUGCUAGCGACUUAGCUUCGGUGAGGUCGCAGUGUGGGAAGUGAACCUAGCUUUGGUGUCUAGAGGAAGUAAAAGUCGUAACA
rnacentral:rRNA from 1 species